rnacentral:rRNA from 1 species
AGCAGCCGCGGUAAUUCCAGCUCCAAUAGCGUAUAUUAAAGUUGUUGCAGUUAAAAAGCUCGUAGUUGAAUUUCGGGAUCGAUACGUCGGUCGUGCCUUCGGUACGCACUGGCGUUUAUCGAUUUCUCCCUUCUGACGAACCAUGAUGUCAUUAAUUUGGUGUUAUGGGGAAUCAGGACUGUUACUUUGAAAAAAUUAGAGUGUUUAAAGCAGGCAUUAGCUUGAAUACAUUAGCAUGGAAUAAUGAAAUAGGACGUUCGAACCUAUUUUGUUGGUUUCUAGGAUCAACGUAAUGAUUAAUAGGGAUAGUUGGGGGCAUUAGUAUUCAAUUGUCAGAGGUGAAAUUCUUGGAUUUAUUGAAGACUAACUACUGCGAAAGCAUUUGCCAAGGAUGUUUUCAUUAAUCAAGAACGAAAGUUAGGGGAUCGAAGACGAUCAGAUACCGUCGUAGUCUUAACCAUAAACUAUGCCGACUAGGGAUCGGAUGAUGUUAAUUUUUAAUGACUCAUUCGGCGCCUUA